rnacentral:rRNA from 1 species
GAUGAACGCUGGCGGCGUGCCUAAUACAUGCAAGUCGAGCGAACGGACGAGAAGCUUGCUUCUCUGAUGUUAGCGGCGGACGGGUGAGUAACACGUGGAUAACCUACCUAUAAGACUGGGAUAACUUCGGGAACCCUUAUCUAAUACCGGAUCAUAUUUUGAACGGCAUGGUUCAUAAGUGAAAGACGGUCUUGCUGUCACUUAUAGAUGGUUCCGCGCUGCAUUAGCUAGUUGGUAAGGUAACGGCCUACCAAGGCAACGAUGCGUAGCCGACCUGAGAGGGUGAUCGGCCACACUGGAACUGAGACACGGUCCAGACUCCUACGGGAGGCAGCAGUAGGGAAUCUUCCGCAAAGGGCGAAAGCCUGACGGAGCAACGCCGCGUGAGUGAUGAAGGUCUUCGGAUCGUAAAACUCUGUUAUUAGGGAAGAACAUAUGUGUAAGUAACUGUGCACAUCUUGACGGUACCUAAUCAGAAAGCAACGGCUAACUACGUG